rnacentral:rRNA from 1 species
UGUCUCAAAGAUUAAGCCAUGCAUGUCUAAGUAUAAGCACUUUAUACCGUGAAACUGCGAAUGGCUCAUUAAAUCAGUUAUCGUUUAUUUGAUAGUACCUUACUACAUGGAUACCUGUGGUAAUUCUAGAGCUAAUACAUGCUAAAAACCCCGACUUCGGAAGGGGUGUAUUUAUUAGAUAAAAAACCAAUGCCCUUCGGGGCUCCUUGGUGAUUCAUAAUAACUUAACGAAUCGCAUGGCCUUGCGCCGGCGAUGGUUCAUUCAAAUUUCUGCCCUAUCAACUUUCGAUGGUAGGAUAGUGGCCUACCAUGGUGGCAACGGGUAACGGGGAAUUAGGGUUCGAUUCCGGAGAGGGAGCCUGAGAAACGGCUACCACAUCCAAGGAAGGCAGCAGGCGCGCAAAUUACCCAAUCCCGACACGGGGAGGUAGUGACAAUAAAUACUGAUACGGGGCUCUUUUGGGUCUCGUAAUUGGAAUGAGUACAAUUUAAAUCCCUUAACGAGGAACAAUUGGAGGGCAAGUCUGGUGCCAGCAGCCGCGGUAAUUCCAGCUCCAAUAGCGUAUAUUAAAGUUGUUGCAGUUAAAAAGCUCGUAGUUGAACCUUGGGUCUGGCUGGCCGGUCCGCCUCACCGCGAGUACUGGUCCGGCUGGACCUUUCCUUCUGGGGAAUCCCAUGGCCUUCACUGGCUGUGGGGGGAACCAGGACUUUUACUGUGAAAAAAUUAGAGUGUUCAAAGCAGGCCUUUGCUCGAAUACAUUAGCAUGGAAUAAUAGAAUAGGACGUGCGGUUCUAUUUUGUUGGUUUCUAGGACCGCCGUAAUGAUUAAUAGGGAUAGUCGGGGGCGUCAGUAUUCAGCUGUCAGAGGUGAAAUUCUUGGAUUUGCUGAAGACUAACUACUGCGAAAGCAUUCGCCAAGGAUGUUUUCAUUAAUCAGGGAACGAAAGUUAGGGGAUCGAAGACGAUCAGAUACCGUCGUAGUCUUAACCAUAAACUAUGCCGACUAGGGAUCGGGCGGUGUUUUUAUGAUGACCCGCUCGGCACCUUACGAGAAAUCAAAGUUUUUGGGUUCUGGGGGGAGUAUGGUCGCAAGGCUGAAACUUAAAGGAAUUGACGGAAG